AGCAGUGGGGAAUANNGCACAAUNNNGNAAACCCUGAUGCAGCCAUGCCGCGUGUGUGAAGAAGGCUUUCGGGUUGUAAAGCACUUUCAGCGAGGAGGAAAGGGUAUUGCUUAAUACGUAAUAUCUGUGACGUUACUCGCAGAAGAAGCACCGGCUAACUCCGUGCCAGCAGCCGCGGUAAUACGGAGGGUGCAAGCGUUAAUUGGAAUUACUGGGCGUAAAGCGCGCGUAGGUGGUUAAUUAAGUCAGAUGUGAAAGCCCAGGGCUCAACCUCGGAACUGCAUUUGAAACUGGUUAACUAGAGUUUUGUAGAGGGUGGUAGAAUUUCAGGUGUAGCGGUGAAAUGCGUAGAGAUCUGAAGGAAUACCAGUGGCGAAGGCGGCCACCUGGACAAAAACUGACACUGAGGCGCGAAGGCGUGGGGAGCAAACGGGAUUAGAUACCCCGGUAGUCCACGCAGUAAACGAUGUCUAUUAGAAGUUUGUGGCUAUAUGCCGUG
rnacentral:rRNA from 1 species